AAGAGACAGCAGUCGCCGCGGGAAUACAGAGGGUGCGAGCGUUAAUCGGAUUUACUGGGCGUAAAGCGUGCGUAGGCGGCUUUUUAAGUCGGAUGUGAAAUCCCUGAGCUUAACUUAGGAAUUGCAUUCGAUACUGGGAAGCUAGAGUAUGGGAGAGGAUGGUAGAAUUCCAGGUGUAGCGGUGAAAUGCGUAGAGAUCUGGAGGAAUACCGAUGGCGAAGGCAGCCAUCUGGCCUAAUACUGACGCUGAGGUACGAAAGCAUGGGGAGCAAACAGGAUUAGAUACCCCCGUAGUCCCUGUCUCUUAUAC
rnacentral:rRNA from 1 species